rfam:Bacillus badius strain MTCC 1458 Contig2, whole genome shotgun sequence.
GCGUUCGGGUAAUCGCUGCAGCUGUUUAGCUGCAGAGGAAAGUCCAUGCUCACACAGUGCUGAGAUGCCUGUAGUGUUCGUGCCUAGCGAAAAAGUAAGCUAGGGCAGUUCGGCUCCGGCUGGAUUGACGGCAGGGAAAAUGCCUAAGUCUUCGGAUAUGGCAUGAUUACCUUGAAAGUGCCACAGUGACGUAGCUUUAUAAGAAAUUAUAAAGGUGGAACGAGGUAAACCCCGCGAGUGAGCAACCCAAAUUUAGGUAGGGGCACCCUCUUUAAGGAAAUGAACAAUAAGAGGGGCGGCUGUUUUUAGAACAUCCGCAGAUAGAUGAUUACCACCGGAGUACAAGAUCAUCCCUGAUCGCUUGCAGUACAAUGGUACAGAACAUGGCUUACAGAA